rnacentral:rRNA from 1 species
AGAGUUUGAUCCUGGCUCAGAACGAACGCUGGCGGCAUGCCUAAUACAUGCAAGUCGAACGAACUCUUCGGAGUUAGUGGCGCACGGGUGCGUAACGCGUGGGAAUCUGCCCCUUGGUUCGGAAUAACAGUUGGAAACGACUGCUAAUACCGGAUGAUGACGAAAGUCCAAAGAUUUAUCGCCAAGGGAUGAGCCCGCGUAGGAUUAGCUAGUUGGUGAGGUAAAGGCUCACCAAGGCAACGAUCCUUAGCUGGUCUGAGAGGAUGAUCAGCCACACUGGGACUGAGACACGGCCCAGACUCCUACGGGAGGCAGCAGUAGGGAAUAUUGGACAAUGGGCGAAAGCCUGAUCCAGCAAUGCCGCGUGAGUGAUGAAGGCCUUAGGGUUGUAAAGCUCUUUUACCCGAGAUGAUAAUGACAGAUCGGA